GGUCACUGCUAUUGGGAUUCGACUAAGCCAUGCGAGUCGAGAGGGUUCGGCCCUCGGCAGACGGCUCAGUAACACGUGGAUAAUCUGCCCUUAGGUGGAGGAUAACCUCGGGAAACUGAGAAUAAUACUCCAUAGGUCUAGGAUGCUGGAAUGCACCUAGACUAAAAGUUCCGGCGCCUAAGGAUGAGUCUGCGGACUAUCAGGUUGUAGUCAGGGUAAAGACCUGACUAGCCUACGACGGAUAUGGGUUGUGAGAGCAAUAACCCAGAGACGAUAUCUGAGACACGAUAUCGGGCCCUACGGGGCGCAGCAGGCGCGAAAACUUCACACUGUGCGAGAGCACGAUGAGGGAAUCCCAAGUGCCAUCACGUAAGUGGUGGCUGUUUCUAUGUCUAAAAAACAGAGAGAGUAAGAGCUGGGUAAGACGGGUGCCAGCCGCCGCGGUAAUACCUGCAGCUCGAGUGGUGGCCGCUAUUAUUGGGCCUAAAACGUCCGUAGCCGGUUUAGUAAAUGCCUGGGUAAAUCGUGUAGCUUAACUAUACGACUUCCGGGUAGACUGCUAGACUUGGGACCGGGAGAGGCUAGAGGUACUCCUGGGGUAGAGGUGAAAUUCUGUAAUCCUAGGGGGACCACCAGUGGCGAAGGCGUCUAGCUAGAACGGGUCUGACGGUGAGGGACGAAGCCCUGGGGCGCAAACCGGAUUAGAUACCCGGGUAGUCCAGGGUGUAAACGCUGCUUGCUUGAUGUUAGUCGGGCUCCGAGCCCGAUUAGUGUCGGAGAGAAGUUGUUAAGCAAGCUGCCUGGGAAGUACGGUCGCAAGACUGAAAC
rnacentral:rRNA from 1 species